rnacentral:pre_miRNA from 1 species
ACAGAAGGGGCCUGAUCCAAAGCCCAAUGAAGUCACUGGGAGUGUUUCCAUUGACUUUAAUGAGCUUUGGAAUCAGGCCCAUUUGGG